rnacentral:rRNA from 1 species
GACGAACGCUGCCGGCUGGCUUAACACAUCCAAGUCGACCGAAAAGCCCCUGCUUUUGUGGGGUGCUCGAGUGGCGAACGGGUGAGUAAACCGUUAGUAACCUGCCCUUUACUUUGGGAUAACUUCCGGAAACUGGGGCCAAUACCGGAAUGGAGUUCCUGAUGCCUGGGGGGGGCUGGAAAGUUCGGGCGGUCGGAGAUGGAUUGGCGGCUCAUCGGCUAGUUGGCGGGGUAGUGGUUUACCAAGGUUUUGACGGAUAGCCGGCCUGGGAGGGUGACCGGGCACAUUGGGCCUGAGAUACGGCCCAGUCGCCUACGGGAGGCAGAAGUGGAGAAUAUUGCACAAUGGGCGGAAGCCUGAUGCAGCAACGCCGCGUGCGGGAUGACGGCCUUCUGGUUGUAAACCGCUUUCGCCGGUGACGAAGCGUGAGUGACGGUAAUGGGUAAAGAAGCACCGGCUAACUACGUG